CCCAAAUGCCAGCUUCAUGCAGCCUACUGUUUUUAGAGUGGUCCUGGUCACAACGUGUUCCUGGCUCUACCUGUAACCUGAGCAGCUUCGCGGAAUCACGUUCAGACACCGACCGGAUUGGCCCCGAAGUUUUAAUUGUGGGACUGCUGGAAUUUAACGUGCACGGCGCCGAUUCACCAUCCACGAACCCCACGGCCGCAGGUGCCAUGACUAAAAUUGGGAAGGGAGCGACCAAAUGUCAAACCGCGUCAAUAUUCAAAUAACCUGCGUGGCGGGUACACGUUUCGCUUCCACGGGGGGGAAAAGACGUGCAAACGUGAAACGAGUUGACUUCAAGUUCAAAGCAACGAGACCAGCAGGUACACUUUCCCACCUCGACCACCGCAGGGCUGAAAAAGAGAGAGAGAGAGAGAGAGAGAGAGAGAGAGAGAGAGAGAGGGAGUUUUACCUUGUCGGGCAAAUAAUAAAGGUGGAUUCCGAAGGACCAAAAAGGUUGGAGUUAAGUCUUGUUUCCAGUCUUCGCGGAGGACUUUUCCCCCCCUGUCCUCAGAGUCGGACCAGGCGGGAAGACAGCUGCUGCCUACGCAUGAAACUUGAGAUGCGUCGCAGAAGCCUGUGA
rnacentral:lncRNA from 1 species